GACGAACGCUGGCGGCGUGCUUAACACAUGCAAGUCGAACGGAAAGGCCCUGCUUUUGUGGGGUGCUUGUGAGGCGAAGGGGGGAGUAAAACGUGAGUAACCUGCCCCUGACUUUGGGAUAACUUUAGGAAACACGGGCUAAUACCCGAUAGGAGCUCCUGCUGCACGGGGGGGGUUGGAAAGUUUCGGCGGUUGGGGAUGGACUCGCGGCUUACCGGCUUGUUGGUGGGGUAGGGGAGUACCAGGGCUUUGAAGGGUAGCCGGCCUGGGAGGGUGACCGGCGACAUGGGGCCUGAGGGACGGCCCAGACUCCUACGGGAGGCAGCAGUGGGGAAUAUUGCGCAGUGGGCGGAAGCCUGAGGCAGCGGCGCCGCGUGCGGGAUGACGGCCUUCGGGUGGUAAACCGCUUUGGCCUGUGACGAAGCGUGAGUGACGGUAAUGGGUAAAGAAGCACCGGCUAACUACGUG
rnacentral:rRNA from 1 species